CCUACGGGAGGCAGCAGUGAGGAAUAUUGGUCAAUGGACGAGAGUCUGAACCAGCCAAGUAGCGUGAAGGAUGACUGCCCUAUGGGUUGUAAACUUCUUUUAUAUGGGAAUAAAAUGUUCCAUGUGUGGGAUUUUGUAUGUAUCAUAUGAAUAAGGCUCGGCUAACUCCGCGCCAGCAGCCGCGGUAAUACGGAGGAUCCGAGCGUUAUCCGGAAUUAUUGGGUUUAACGGGAGCGUAGGUGGAUUGUUAAGUCAGUUGUGAAAGUUUGCGGCUCAACCGUAGAAUUGCAGUUGAAACUGGCAGUCUUGAGUACAGUAGAGGUGGGCGGAAUUCGUGGUGUAGCGGUGAAAUGCUUAGAGAUCACGAAGAACUCCGAUUGCGAAGGCAGUUCACUAGACUGCAACUGACACUGAGGCUCGAAAGUGUGGGUAUCAAACAGGAUUAGAUACCCGUGUAGUC
rnacentral:rRNA from 1 species